CUAGUUCGCCUCCACGUGGGUGCACCCUGGGUAACGCUAAAUGAACUAGCAAAUAUUUUCAGUCAGACAAUCCUAGGAUCUGCUGUCCAUAAGAUCAAUUUCACAAAGUUCCACUUUUCUUUAAGAGAUAUGAUGCUAUCAAGCAAGGCAAACAGUCUUUCUCUUUAUUGUUUUUCUUCUAAUUUUAUUUCUUAAUCUCUUCUUUAUGUAUUAUUUCUUAUUUGCUGUAAUUCUUCUAAGACUUCCAAGUCUUUGAUUUCAUUUCUGUUGAUGCCAACAUGCGAUUGUAUAGUUUUCGAUUCAUGAAUGGGAUAUUGUACUGCUUUGGAACAAGGAUUUUUGGACAAGGACAGCUGCACUUCAAUUCAAGAAGCCUCAUCAAGAUGCCAUUAGAUUGAUUAUAUCCAACAUUCAAUUGGAUCAACAUUCAAUAGGAUGAAAUUCAUCACUGAAGAGGAAUAGAAUAAUUUUAGGUAAAUUAUACUAAAAUAUUUUUUUUUUAAAUCAAGUAUAUUUGACAAAUGCCUCAUAUUGUAGAUAUUUUGUAAAAUAUUUAGGUAUAAAUUCUUUACUGAAUACAUACAGUACUUCACACGGUUAUCAGUAUUAUAGUACCGGAAAUAAUUUAAACAUUAAUGUGGGUGGUACUUAUUAGAUUUCAUUAAAAUUCCUAUUAUGGGGAUUUUGAAUGAAUUUUUAGACUCUUAGAAAAAUUAUAGCCAUUUAUUAAACAAUUAAUAUUUCAGUCAUAUAAUUUACAGCAUAAAGUCUAAUAGUUUACUGUUUAGAUCAUAUUAUUUAGAUGAUUUUCUCAUAAUAUCAUUCUAAAUAUUCUAAAAAAUAAAUAUUUUUUAACUGUAAUUAUAUUAAUAAGUGUACUAACUAACAUAAUAUUCAAUAAACUGAAUAUGCUAUAAAGUUAUUUUGGACAUUUUAAAUAAGAAUCUGGACUAUAUUGCAAUAACGAUCUGUCUAAAAGAAAAAUGUGUCCAUUCAAAUUUUCCUUAAAGCCCGCCUAAAUGAUUGCAGCGCCAAUUUGUCGCGGUGAUUUUUCUUGUAACUAAAUUUAGUUGUGGCGCUAUCUGCCGCAAUGUAACGAAACUACGCUAUUAAUAGAUGUAGAAUUCUGUAAAAUUGCCUCUCCUGACAUCUAGCGGAAGGUGACUGUACUGUGAAUUUUUAGAAUAAAGAAAUCUACUAUUUCAAGUGUGGCACCAUCGAACGUGGAAUAGUUAACUCUAACGACAUUUAACAGAAAUCUAUAUUUUUAGGGUUCCAAAAAGUGUCUGAUCAGAGUCAUCUAUUAUUUUUAUUUAGCACCAUUUAUGAUUUUUUUAACCGAAAAAUUAAACAUGUCUUACUGCGGUUUGCCGUCAGGGAUUACGAUUUUUUGAAAUUUUUGCUGGAAAAGGUGAUUUUAUUGUGUAUUAUUUGUUCAUAAACUUUUCUUAAGGCUCUGCUCGAUCAUCUGUAAUAACAUUAAUAAUAGCACAUAUGAGCAUACAUUCUUCAUGCAUCCUUUCACAGAAGAGGAGGUAGGAGUGAUCUCAGAGAAGGUAGCUAAUCUUUGACCAAGGGUUAAAUCCGAUGCAGGAAGAUAAAAAGCAUCGGGAGACAAAGAUUUAUGGCAAAUUGAGGCUUAUCUAACACAGUUCAGCCAUAUCUACAACUACGACUUUGAAACUAAACAAAUAGGCUUUAUCUUCGUGGACAGUUGAUGGUUAUGUCCUUCUUCAUCUGCAACAGUUUGAAGAAGAUGCCCAUUACAUUGAAUAAAUUCAACAUUCGACAGUGGAAUCACGAAAUUCAACAUUGAAGAGAACCUAAAUCAUUUUAGAUUUUGUACAACAAAUCGAUCGUUGUAUACAGUUCCAGGGCAGUACAUUUAUCUUUUUCAUGAAUAUUACCAACAAUGCAUAAGGACUUACAAGUAUAUCUAAUUUUUUUGGCCUUUGGCCACUUCAUUUUCUUAUUGGUAAAAUCUAAUUAGAAUUUUACAUCCUGUUGUUUUUGGUUAACUUUCAAUUUUCUAUAAUAUCCUGAGUCCCAUAUUUUCUCCAUUGUGGUAAUAAUAACAUCAUUCAUUAAUUCUUUAAAGUAUUUUAUUGCCUGUAUUUCAAUAAGUCUCUUUUAUUUGCAUUAUUUUUCUUAUGGUGUUAUUUUUCUAAUGCUUUUUUGCUUGUGUAAUUCCUUGUACAGAAUUUUAGUUUUGAUGGAUACAUUUUUAUGUCAUUUUUUUCAGAUUGUAUCCCAUGAAUUGCUAUAAUUUUACAGAUCUUGUUGGUUCCUUUUGCCUGUGUUUAAACACACAAAAUACACUUAAAACUCCCACAAUAAGAACUAUUCCCAAUCAAUUCCUGGCGCAUUCGCCAUUUAUUCAAAAAACCUGACUCGUCCUCAGACGAUGUCUCUUCUGUUUUUCCUAGCCUUUUUUCCAAUGAAUUUUUCUGAAUAAUAUCGACUCCAGAGCAUCACAGCUAGCCUCCCCGCAAAAGAGGAGACCCGGGUCGCUCCCUAACCCUGAUGUUCGGGCAUCGAUGACCUAUGUAGCAUGCAUAGGUACCCAAGGGAGUCACCACCCUCUGGUUUACGAGCUAGGUGUUCUAACGCUAGAGGCUUCGGCCGGAUACGACCUGGCAUCCAAGCUCCGAGACUUCUUCGUGCACGUAUUCCGUGACCCUCGAAGAGGCAGGGGGCGGGAUAUCGGACACAUUGAAGAUGAUGAGGGGGGUCCGCCUGUAGGGGGUCCCGGUGGAUGUCCGCUCGAUGGGUGACGAGGGCGACCCGAGACGAGGCUGCUUAGCUGGGAUGGGAACUGACUGGUGAGGCUUAAUCGUGGACAAGGGUUAAAUCGGAUGAGGGGGGGCGAACUUGAUGCUCUGGAGGAUUUUUCUUUAUGUGCUUGAUGUUAAAUUUUGACUAGAUAUUUCUGAGAGGAGGCUAAGCAUAAUUUGUUGUCAUUUUUCCAGUUCGUAUUGACCACAUUCCUCUUUUUUUAAUAUCAUCUAAAAAUUUUUGACCAAUCUUGCUUUUGGCCUACCUCUAUUUCACUAUUUUUGUCUGCCAUAUUUUCUUUAUUACUAGAAUAUUAUCAUUCAUCAAUUCUAUAAACUCUCUCUAUAAAAAACGUUGCUAAGAGCAUUGAUUGCUAAGAGGAUAUUCUUACAUUUCUAUUACCUGAUAGAAUUCUAUCUUAUGUUUUAUCCAUUUUCGUGAAUUUUCGUCGUCUUUUUUGUAUACAAUUGUAUAUUUUUCUCUCUCAUUCUUCUUUGACUUUUAUCAGUCAUUUUCAUGCAAUCGUUUUUAAUUUAUUAUACCUUAAUUUUUUAUUUGUCUCCCAUAUUAUCUACAUUCUUGAAGGAUUCUAGUAAAUCUAUUAAUUUAUGUAUUUCUGAGUUAUCAGUCAUCAUUCACUUGUAUCGUUUUUAAUUAUUUUUGUAUUGUGUAAUUCUAUGUCCAGGCUUCCCUAAGGCAUUUUAUUUCUUGAAAGCUGAGAGGUGUAAUUUUAGAAUCACUUUUCUUGGCUUUUUUCAAUUCAUCAUAUCAUGCACAGUAAAACUUUACUGUUUCUUGUAUUUUUAAAUUACUUGUUUUUAUUUAUGUUAUUGUUUAUAGUAUUGCUAUUCGUUUAAGACUCUCAAGUCUUUGAUUGUAUUUCUAUUGAUGCCUACAUAUAAUAGUUGAAUAGUUUUAUACAAAUUUUGUUUAUUUUCCAAUUGAUUUUUUUUAUUCUGCUUCUGAUUCAUUUUAAAAUUGAAUUUUUGAAUAGGAUAUUGUACUGCUUUGGAACAAAGAUUUUUCGGACAAGGACAGCUGCACUUCAGUUGAACCCCCUCUUCAAGAUGUCAUUUGGUUGAUUAAAUUCAACAUUCAGCAGUGAAUUUCAGGAUAUAAUUCAUCAUUGAAGAGACAGGAAUAUAGUUUUAGAACCAAGACUUUCCAGAAGGGUAGCCAGAAGAUUUAUUUACCACAACAUAGACAUCAGCAUGUCCAUCAACUCCUUGGAUUUUAAUAUACUUUUUAUGUUACUCUAAUAUACUCUAAUUACUC